rnacentral:rRNA from 1 species
UACAGAGGUCCCAAGCGUUGUUCGGAUUCACUGGGCGUAAAGGGUGCGUAGGCGGUCGGGUAAGUCUGAUGUGAAAUCUCCAAGCUCAACUUGGAAAUGGCAUCGGAUACUAUUCGGCUCGGAGGAAUGGAGGGGAGACUGGAAUACUUGGUGUAGCAGUGAAAUGCGCAGAUAUCCGAAGGAACACCGGUGGCGAAGGCGG